rnacentral:rRNA from 1 species
CAAUAGCGUAUAUUAAAGUUGUUGCGGUUAAAAAGCUCGUAGUUGGAUUUCUGCUGAGAACGACCGGUCCGCCCUUUGGGCGUGUAUCUGGCUCUUUCUUGGCAUCUUCUUGGUGAACGUUGCUGCACUUGACUGUGUGGAGCGCUACCCAGGACUUUUACUUUGAGGAAAUUAGAGUGUUUCAAGCAGGCAUACGCCUUGAAUACAUAAGCAUGGAAUAAUAAGAUAGGACCUCGGUUCUAUUUUGUUGGUUUCUAGAGCUGAGGUAAUGAUUAAUAGGGAUAGUUGGGGGCAUUCGUAUUUAACUGUCAGAGGUGAAAUUCUUGGAUUUGUUAAAGACGGACUACUGCGAANGNAUUUGGNAAGGAUGUUUNCAUUG